UACGGAAGGCAGCAGUGGGGAAUAUUGGACAAUGGGCGAAAGCCUGAUCCAGCCAUGCCGCAUGAGUGAAGAAGGCCUUCGGGUUGUAAAGCUCUUUUAGUGAGAAAGAUAAUGACGGUACUCACAGAAGAAGUCCUGGCUAACUCCGUGCCAGCAGCCGCGGUAAUACGGAGGGUGCUAGCGUUAAUCAGAAUUACUGGGCGUAAAGAGCACGUAGGUGGUUUUUUUAAGUCAGAUGUGAAAUCCCUGGGCUUAACCUAGGAACUGCAUUUUGAAACUGAAAUACUAGAGUAUCGUAGAGGGAGGUAGAAUUCUAGGUGUAGCGGUGAAAUGCGUAGAUAUCUGGAGGAAUACCUGUGGCGAAAGCGGCCUCCUAAACGAAUACUGACACUGAGGUGCGAAAGCGUGGGGAGCAAACAGGGAUUAGAUACC
rnacentral:rRNA from 1 species